rnacentral:tRNA from 1 species
GCCACGGUGGUCUAGCGGUUAGAACGCUGGCCUUGGAAUCCUGGAGUCUCGGGUUCGAUUCCCGGAUGUGCCC